GACGAACGCUGGCGGCGUGCUUAACACAUGCAAGUCGAACGGAAAGGCCCUGCUUUUGUGGGGUGCUCGAGUGGCGAACGGGUGAGUAACACGUGAGUAACCUGCCCUUGACUUUGGGAUAACUUCAGGAAACUGGGGCUAAUACCGGAUAGGAGCUCCUGCUGCAUGGUGGGGGUUGGAAAGUUUCGGCGGUUGGGGAUGGACUCGCGGCUUAUCAGCUUGUUGGUGGGGUAGUGGCUUACCAAGGCUUUGACGGGUAGCCGGCCUGAGAGGGUGACCGGCCACAUUGGGACUGAGAUACGGCCCAGACUCCUACGGGAGGCGGCAGUGGGGAAUAUUGCACAAUGGGCGGAAGCCUGAUGCAGCAACGCCGCGUGCGGGAUGACGGCCUUCGGGUUGUAAACCGCUUUCGCCUGUGACGAAGCGUGAGUGACGGUAAUGGGUAAAGAAGCACCGGCUAACUACGUGCCAGCAGCCGCGGUGAUACGUAGGGUGCGAGCGUUGUCCGGAUUUAUUGGGCGUAAAGGGCUCGUAGGUGGUUGAUCGCGUCGGAAGUGUAAUCUUGGGGCUUAACCCUGAGCGUGCUUUCGAUACGGGUUGACUUGAGGAAGGUAGGGGAGAAUGGAAUUCCUGGUGGAGCGGUGGAAUGCGCAGAUAUCAGGAGGAACACCAGUGGCGAAGGCGGUUCUCUGGGCCUUUCCUGACGCUGAGGAGCGAAAGCGUGGGGAGCGAACAGGCUUAGAUACCCUGGUAGUCCACGCUGUAAACGGUGGGUACUAGGUGUGGGGUCCGUUCCACGGGUUCCGUGCCGUAGCUAACGCUUUAAGUACCCCGCCUGGGGAGUACGGCCGCAAGGCUAAAACUCAAAGGAAUUGACGGGGCCCCGCACAAGCGGCGGAGCAUGCGGAUUAAUUCGAUGCAACGCGUAGAACCUUACCUGGGUUUGACAUGGAUCGGGAGUGCUCAGAGAUGGGUGUGCCUCUUUUGGGGUCGGUUCACAGGUGGUGCAUGGCUGUCGUCAGCUCGUGUCGUGAGAUGUUGGGUUAAGUCCCGCAACGAGCGCAACCCUUGUUCACUGUUGCCAGCACGUUAUGGUGGGGACUCAGUGGAGACCGCCGGGGUCAACUCGGAGGAAGGUGGGGAUGACGUCAAGUCAUCAUGCCCCUUAUGUCCAGGGCUUCACGCAUGCUACAAUGGCUGGUACAGAGAGUGGCGAGCCUGUGAGGGUGAGCGAAUCUCGGAAAGCCGGUCUCAGUUCGGAUUGGGGUCUGCAACUCGACCUCAUGAAGUCGGAGUCGCUAGUAAUCGCAGAUCAGCAACGCUGCGGUGAAUACGUUCCCGGG
rnacentral:rRNA from 1 species